rnacentral:rRNA from 1 species
UACGGGGGGGGCAAGCGUUGUUCGGAAUUACUGGGCGUAAAGGGCUCGUAGGCGGCCAACUAAGUCAGACGUGAAAUCCCUCGGCUUAACCGGGGAACUGCGUCUGAUACUGGAUGGCUUGAGAUUGGGAGAGGGAUGCGGAAUUCCAGGUGUAGCGGUGAAAUGCGUAGAUAUCUGGAGGAACACCGGUGGCGAAGGCGGCCUGCUGGGCUAUGGCUGACACUGAGGCGCGACAGCGUGGGGAGCAAACAGG